CUGGUUUCCUUUUAACGGUAUAGGCCUGCUGUUGCUAUAUAAAAUGUAUAGGCCUAUGUAACAUAUACGUUAUGUAUUUCACCGAAAAUCCCUCAUAUUUAUUUUAUGGUUAUUUUGGGAUAUAUUACAUUACUUUCAAGAGUGAACUAUUUCAUUGUAAUUAUUUUCUAAAUUGUGUUAAUGCUGUGAUGUCAUCAACGGGAGCCAUUACUUUACUCCUCAGUUUGAUCAGAGCGUUAUGAGGAGUGGUAUGUGCUAUGUACGCUCCGGUCUUUUGAAUGCACAUGUUCACAAAUGCACAAGAAAAGACAAGCAAAAUGUAUAUCUUCACUGAUUUAGUGUUGCAUUGCUGUUUAUAUGAAUAUAUAUUAAUGUGAAUGGGGAUAAUGUUCGAGUGCAAGUUUGCAAGGGUAACCCAGCUACCGUUAGCUUUGUUGCGGGAGAGGGUCUCUUUCAGGUGCAGACAUCUUGAGUUUGCUGAUGAUUUUUCUCACGGGCAUUCUGCACUGACUUUUGUCUUUAAUCAGGCAAAUAUACUUGUAUGGGAGUCCAGACGGCAGCAUUAACCUUUGCAUUGUAUCCAUUCCUUGCAGUCAUUAAUAGAGAGACAACCGGCAGAAUUGUGUCCAGAGCCUUGUCUUCCACCUACACCUUACCAGAACACAACGCAGAACGGUACCGGUACAGAACCGGUUACAUUGGUGCCGUGACCCAGAUCAAUGUGGAUCAUUAUGAAUCGCCGUUGAUCAACACCAGCUUGGUCGCCGGGAGUUGCUAUGCUAUAAAUAGGAGAAAAUGCCAUGGAGUACUGGAUCCGUUGGAACAAGGCAGUAGAUGUGGCUGACGAGUGUUUGAGGAGGCAGGGUGGGAGCAUCGAGUACUCCAGCCGAGAGGCAAAUAAACUUGUAUGGAGUCCAGACGGCAGCAUUUACUUUUGCCUUGUAUUUGUAUCCAUUCCGUGCAGGUAUGUUGUGAAAUGUGCCGAUUUUGUAUUUCAUGUUUAAUGUGCCUAGUUAGCUGUCAUUUAUUUUGUUACCUGUCCGGUCAUGUAAAAAAUUGCGUUGUUGCUUCAUUAGUAUGCCUCAGGUAUAAUGGUACAAUAGUACACUUAUUAGCAAAUUAUUAUUGUAUUGGUGUACAACAUUUAUAAAAUGAAAUGUGAGUCUUUUAAAAAUAUGAACAUGUACAUUGUAUUUUUGUUGUUGAUGCUUUUACUAAUGAGUUUGCUCAGAGCGUGAUGAGGAGAGGCAAAUAUACUUGUAUGGGAGUCCAGACGGCAGCAUUAACUUUGCCUUGUAUUUGUAUCCAUUCCAUGCAGUCAUUAAAAGAGAGACAACCGGCAGAAUUGUGUCCAGAGCCUUGUCUUCCACCUACACCUUACCAGAACACAAUGCAGAAAGGUACUGGUACAGAACCGGUUACACCUAGUUUUCAUAGUCUUUGAUCCACCACAUUCCUGUGGACUGUGUUAAUGGCUGGACAAAAAAACGACAGUAAAACUUGUUGGGAUUUUUCUUCCUUCAGCAAAGUAACCUACUACUUUAUCAUGUGUAGGAAUCUGUGUCUCUUACUUAAUUAUCUCUCAUUCCUCUUAAAGUGUGUACUUAUUCACCUCCACUGAUUUGAAAGUCUGAUUAUCCAUUACAUGACCAGAUACUCAUUCAAACGAUGAAAAUACAUCUUCUGUGGGGUUUAUCAGCGGUUGGCAUCCAAUGUUAUAGUGCAUUAAGCCAUCUCCUGUAAUGGAGUGUGGGCCAGCGACAGGGAUCGAGGAACUAAAUCCUAUCUACCAGCCCCGUGUCUCUUAAAAAAAUAGAAAUAUUUGCGACUAUCUAACGAUGUCCUACUCAGUAUGCUUUGUUAGAGGUUCAGCUAGGGGUCAUGAUUGGGGCUGUACCAAAUGAUUGAUGUAUUAGAAUAAAUGAUUAUGCUGAUGUUGUGUUAAUAGAAGGGGAGGGGUUAUAAGACCCCUCCCUCCUUACAUUUAUAGGGUCCUAGACUACAGAUUAACAAUAUAUGUACAUUAUGAGGUUUAAUAUUGUUCCACAGUGCUUUUCUAGGCUCUCUGCCUCUUAUGAAGAAACCGUCUGAGAAAUGUGUGACUGUGAAGAUAGAACUCUGCAGGGGAGUGUAAGAGAUAGGAGACUAGUCAGACAUUCCACUAUAAAUCAACGUGGACAUUUACUGCUAAGCUUUUAGAUAACACUGAAAGCCUUGUUUAUAUAGCUGUGUAGGCAUGGUUUUGGUCUCAUGAGUAAAAGAUAAUGACGUAGGCAGUGACAUCACUAGGGCUGGACUUCGGGUUUGAUAAAAUAACUUGGGACCUUUUCUUUGAUGCAGAACUUGCUCGGAACUUGCUCUGCCCAUAUCAUUCCCUUAGCCUCUGCUUUGCCCAUUGGAACCUCCACCUCCUGUCAAUUCCUGUACCCCUUCUCUCUCAUACUGUAUCAGUCUCUCUUUCCCUAUCAUACUGCAUCAGUACAUGCUCCACUGUCUGUUUCCUGGCAGUAAUCACAUCUUCCUGUUGAAUGAUUUCCUAUCACAUUUCAUAACUUAUUCAGCUGGCUGUGCCCCACUCUUAGCCUUGUAAGGAUAGCCUCCUCUCUUCUGUCCAUUCCUACCAUCCUCCCCUACUUUACUCUGUACUUGGAAUAGGGGCAGCAGGUAGCCAAGUGGUUUAUAGUGUUGGGCCUGUAACCCGAGGCGACUAGGUGAAAAAUCUGUCAAUGUGCCUUAGAGCAACUUAAUCCUAAUUGCUCCUGCAAGUCGCUCUAGAUAAGUGUCUGCUAAAUUACUAAAAUGUCAACAAUGAAUAGAUGCCUGCCUUAGUGUCACUGUUCCACUGCUCCUGCCAUCUCUGCCCAUAUCAUUCCCUUAGCCUCUGCUUUGCCCAUUGGAACCUCCACCUCCUGUCUCCUAAGGGCCUGUUUAGCUAGCAUAUCUACUUCCUCAUUCCCUUCCACCCCCACAUGGACCGGUACCCAAGCAAAGCUUAUAUGGACACCUAUCUGUCUCACCCGGGCAUGAAUUUGAAUUCCUUCAUAUAGCAGGCCUCGUCUGCUAUGUGAGCUAAAUGAUUGCAGACUCAUCAACACAGCAAACGAGUCAGAACAUAUAACUACUCUGCAUGACUUCCUCCAACCACUGCAAGGUCAACAGUACGACCAUCAGCUCAGCCAGGUGGUCUGCAAUUGUCUUCUGACAGCCACCCCACUUUCCUGUUCAACAAAGGCUGAUCCAGUCUGACCUGUCCUUGGGUCUUUUGAUCUAUCUGUAUAUAUAGUCAAAAAAACACAGAUUUACAGUUUCCAGUCGCCUUUUAAAGAACUUGCAUGGAUCAACCCCCUCCCUGUCUUUCCGUACACUCUUCAACACUUGUAAAUCAACUACUGGAGGUGGGAGUAGCCAUGGUGGACUCACAGGGAUAGGUACCGUGGGGCUAAAGUCCCUGCAGUACAAUCCCAUCUGCCUCUCCUGGUUAUCACCCAACCAUCCAAAGCUUUUAUUCUGUCCACGUUCAGGCUCCCAACUUCUCUGUAGCACCUCUUUUGUGGGGUGAGACACAUCACGUUCCUGUAAAUUAACUCAAUAAUUAAUUCCCAGCGAUUGCCUGCUAAUAUGUAAUGGCAAUGAAAAUAAAUUUCUUAAAUGUAUGGCAGUCGUUACCACAGCCACAAAGUAAAAAUGUAUGUUGUGGAAGUUCAUGGAAACAAAAAUUAGCUUUUUUGUUUAAAGGUUAGGUUGAGUCAUAAGGUUAACAGUGUUGUUACGGUUAGGUUUAAGAUUACAUUUUAAGUAGAUACAUUUUUUAAAUAUAUGCGUGGUACAUUCUUUUUUUCUCAAAGUUGCUGGCAUGGCACAUGUCCUACUUUUAUCAGUAUAAUCGUAACAACCUAAUAAUUAUGAAACGUAUAUUCUAUCAUUUAAGUCACAAGUCGCCCCUUCUUCUGUUUUGAAAGGAAAUUACUGGUAUAAUAAAUAUGGUGGAAACUGACUAAGCCAUUCCUCCGCCAACCCAAUGCUAUUAGAUUUUUGGGAAGUAGUGAAUAAUUGAACAUUUGAGGAAAAAGGAGAUAUUCUAGGGAUUCCCAAAUAGACUAAAUUAAUACAAUAGUUUAUCAUUAAACCAAAUAUGUUUAAUAUUUCUUGCCGCUAACGGGACAAAGCUAGCCCAUGCCCCUCUACCCUCCCGGAGUCCCCAGGUCAAACGUCUCCCAGUACUGCUUUACUGCUGUGUGUGGUCGACUGCAGGAAAACACUGGGGCAGAGUGGAACUAAGAGAGGAGGAAGAGAAGAUAAGGAAGAUGGAGAUUUGUUUUCAUUAAGUAAGAACCAUGGUGUGUAGAUUAGACUACAGUCUGCUUCUGUAACAAUAGCGGAGGUGCAUAAAGAUGGCGGCCCGCAUGUACUUACCACAAAUUACUCCUUUUGCUGAGUUCACUGUAUUCUACAUUGCUCUCCUUUACUGUUGGUAUGGUCAUUAGCACAGUAAACAUGAUCCCAAAUUUAGCUUCAAGAUGCUGGUAAUUUAAAAAAAUGAAAAAGGUAAAGUAACGGUGCAUAGAUGCGACAAGGAAUACAUUGUGGCUGCUAUGAAAGUGAAUUGUGUCUUCGCGUGAUCAGGGAUGUUCGUUCCGCCAAUUCUGUUAAAAUGUUUCUUCAACAGAAGCAAAUGGAACAAAAUUGGGAUGAACAUACCUGAAGUUGUUUGCAACUGUUCGUCUAAUGAUUACACCCUCUAGAUAAUUAGCAGUCAGCGCAUGUUAACUGUCCUGUUGCGUAAUAAUCACAUUUUGGAACAGUGAGAGCAUUCUGACAUCAGGUGCAUAAAACAACUCACGCUGGGGUGACCAUUAGAUAUAUUUGGAAUGUUUCAUUCCACCCGUUUUUAAAAGUGUAACUUGGUCCAAUAAUAUUUUUCACCUAAUUUUAACAUUCUAUCAUAAAGAGCACAUGUAGGAAAACAUGUUAAUUAUCUCAAGACAUUGAAUUAAAAUAUUACUAUACUAUGUGCCAAAUAAAGUAACAGGGGACUACUGAAAACAACAAAACAAAGGUUACGUAUGUUACCACGGUUAUGUGAGCUAUAUGGAUAUCUCCAAUAUACUGGUAUCACUCCGCGGCGGAGGGAUACAUCCAAGGUGAGGACUUACAGAUUCACUCCCGUGUACAUCUGUGUCGUGGCUGGGGUCCGCCACCAUAUAUAGAACCCAUGGCCGCGACACACAUUCUCUACCUAACUUUUGAGGCGCCUCUAGCACUGUAGAGGAUUGGAGUGAUCCAUAUAGCUCACAUAGCCGUGGUUACAUAUGUAACCUUCGUUAUGUUUCACUAUAUUGAAUCACUCCAAUAUAUUGGUAUACCCGUACAAGAUUUAGUCGGUGCUAGAGGGACCCGGCCAGCCAGCGGUGAAGUCCCAGCGCGGGACCGAGACGCAGGGGCCGUCAAUGUGGAAGGUGGGUCCCGGCACAGUCCCCGGAAGGGGAGGUGAUGCCCAGGACCACUGAACCAACUGCAGAGGAAGGUUCCACAUUUACCCAAUAGUACUUAGCAAAGGUGCAAGAGGAAGCCCAGCUGGCAGCAGCAACGAUAUCAGCGAGGGGCACUCCUCUCAGUAGAGCCCAGGAUACAGCCACACCUCUUGUUGACUGUGCCACCACAGAUCCCAGCACUGGCCUGCCAGCCAGGCGGUAUGCUGUCAUAAUUGUGUCCACGAUCCAGUGAGAGAGCCUUUGCUUAGAUAACAAAGCCCCCAGGACUCUCUCACCAUAUCAGAGAGCCGGUCUGUUGUUCUCACUGCCCGUGUCCGCUCCACAUAGGCAGCCGGUGCCUGCGCAGGGCACAGCAUGCCAGAGGGAGGGCCAGACUCUUCCGCCACUCCCGGGGGAUCAUAAGCAGACAGGAUAAAAGGGAUCCUUUUCUGUCAGACAUGCCUGUCUGACAUAGCUUUUGGGAGGAAUGAAGAGUUGGGGCGAAGAGAUAUUCUCCUCCCACCGGGGUCCAUCCGGUAGCACUCAGAACUUACUGAAAGAGCAUGGAGCUCACCCACCCUCUUCAUAGAUGUAAUUUCUACCACAAAAUCCACCUUCGUAGAGCGGUGUUUCAGGGAGGCAGACUCCAACGGUUCGAAAAAGCGGCUUUGCCAAAGCUGCCAAGACCACAUCCAGAUCCCAGCUCGCCAUUGAGCACGUCGUAGCUGGACGCAGGCGACAAACCCCCUUCGUAAACCUGGAGACCAAGGGAUUGCGCCCCACUGGCCUGUCUAUCCACCCCACAUGGCAGGCAGAUAUAGCGGCCAAAUACCCUCUCAGUGUAGGCUUCCAAGCCCUCAUCCAAGUGAGACUGCAGGUAUUGGAGGACAUACUGCACCCCGCAUGACCAACGUAGGAUAGCCACGUUGGUAAGGUGGCCAUGAGAGCAGAGGGAGCCAUAUGUGGCUUUCAAGUCGCAUCAAAGACCCUUGGGGGUCCCAGCUUCAGUCGCAGGUUCCGCUCUAUAAUCUCCUUGUCCAUGGCAGCUAUCAUGGUGUGGUACUCCCGGAGGCCGAGUGACACUACGCCCGCAACAUAACUCCAUGGUCCAGUCUCUACUGUGAGUCUGAAGAGCCCCCUGGCAGAGACCCAGCUCUCCUGCAAGGCCUCACGGAACUCAGCAGAGAUGGGGGCAGAUGGAAAGUCAUCCCUGUCCACCAGUUUGAUGUCCAGUGCAGUGGCUACCUGAGUGAGUAGGCUCCGUGAUGAAGCCCUGUUGAAGGCUUCUGGUGGCCUGUCAGCCUGGUAGCCCCACUCAUGGUGGUGAGCAGUGCCAGCAUUGUCCUCCAGGAACAGCCUAUCACUGGCCAAAAGGGAAAAGCUGUUGUCACCAUUGACGCUAUCAACCUCCUGACGCAGGGUAUGCGCCCUCUGAUCAAGGUGGCCCCAGCGUGCCGACUCCUGUACCCGUCCAGGCCUGGCAGCAGAUGGGCUCUGCCUGUGGUGGCUCCGGCCAUGCUUCCUGGGAGGGGUACUGGACCCAGUAGAGGGACAACAGCUCGCUGCCGCACCACUCCUGAGGGAAGGAGCUCGUCCCCAGCCUGAGCCCGAGCCUGGCCGACCCACUCGUGCAUGGCCAGCAAUCGCGCCAGGCGCAGGCGUUCUGAGAACACCACACAAAACAGGCAUCCAGUAGGGCGCUCCACCGCCCUCUCCGCGUGGCUCAAACCCAGGUAGUGCAUACACGAGGUAUGCGGAUGUCCAGGGGGGAUGCCACCAUCACACCUGUCACAAAGGGAAGCCGUAAGCUCAGCCAAGCCAGCAAGGCCAUGGAGCAGAGGUCCGACACCCUGGGAGAGCUAUGUCGUGAUCCGCAUGGAGGAAUAGGAACCCGAUGAGGGAUAAAUUACCCAGUACCUCUGCAAAGAAACAGGGAAGACCCAUGUGGGAAAAACAGGCAGACAAAAAAACAGCAACCAAGUAAUGGAUUUGAUUUAUUUGUUUUUUUGUUUUAGGCCAACUGCAAUAUUACCUAGCCGGUUUAAUAUCCAAGCAGUAAAAACAGCACCAUAUGGAGUAACGUUGUUAAGGAACUCCAAAGUUAAUGUCUCAACAUAGUGGAAAGUCCACCAUGAUACUCUUACACUCUGCAGGGGAAAGAACAAGAAAAAAACCCAGCAGGGUAAUUAGCAGAGAACCUGGCGCGGGGAGCAGCAUGUUAAAUCAAUUCACAACACACACAUAGAACAAGCCAGUGGGCAAGUUGUGUAAGGUAAAUACAGUUUGUGUCGGCAAGAGCCACCAUACUAAUGGAUGCACACAGAGUCGUAGUGUAACGCCAACGAAACAAGUACGACAAACCAGGGGCGAAAGAUACAGAUCAACCAUGUAGAUACAAAGGCGGAUCCCAGCCGUGACAGGUGUACACGGGAGGGAAUCUGUAAAUCCUCACCUCGAAUGUAUCCCUCCACCACGGAGUGAUACCUAUAUAUUGGCGUGAUCCAAUAUAGUGAAACAUAACCACCAGCUUACAUGGGUAAAAUAGUCAAUUAAAAUGAACCAUAAAACUGCUUAGGACAGGGGAAUGGAAGGUUGCUUUGUGAAACAAGGGGUGACUAUUAAUGCAAUCUUCACAAAAAAAUUUAAUUGUAAAACAUUUCUAGCAUGUCUAUGUAUGGGGAGAGGGUUGAAUUGCUCAGUUUUGCACCACAAACAGCAGUAAAUUGAUAAAAAAGAGUUGAACCAGCUCACCUGCUUUUACUCUGUGAUUUGACUAUUAGAUAUUCCUAUUUUUAAAGGAAUAGUUUCACCAUAUUCAAACGAGAGUUCAGUUCAUGUAACAGGGUUGACCUUAAAAUGAGGGUCACUAAUCACAUUGAUAAUAUUCAGAAAGGACUUUGUCAAAGCAACAAAAUAACUAGUGCUCCUACAAUGAGUGUAUUUACAUGCAAACUCAUCAUUUGACAUUAGUUAUGGCAGUAGGCCGAGUAUGGCAUUCGUCACGUAAACACCUUACUCUGCUUAUCUUAAUUGGCUUAAGUUGACAAUCAAAGUGACGCUGUUAAAAACACCUGGUGUUCUGAGCAAUUUUUCAAUAUAUUAGGACACAUAAAGGCCUUCAUCAGAUUCAUAGAGGCAUAUUUCAUCGCUAAUAUUUUAAAGGGUUUUAUUUGUGAUAUCUUUGAACUUUCCUUAUUGUGUAUUAAGUGUUCUCCAGAAAGAUGUUCACACAUUUUAUUUUUAAUUGAAUGAUGUGUUGGUUGUUAGGAAGAGGCAUCAUGGGGGCAGGAAGCCAGCUCUGCCCAUCAGUACUUAUAGGUCAUGUCAACCACAGACCGCACACUCUUCUGUUCUCUCACGGCCAGUAAGGUCUCCUACCAAACUCCUCUCUCUUCACUCUGGAAAUACACUUGACAAUAUCUUAAACAUUACCAUUCUACUUUUUAUUGGUGAUUUGUUAUGUGGAACGAAUGUUUGCAUGUAAAUGUCAUUGUAAAACAUACAUACGAAUGUGGUUUCAUGUUUUCUUGUUUUGUUUUACAUUGCUGAUUGCGUAUACAUUUUUUUUUUUAAAUAUGUAUUUUUUAAGUGUUUAGUUGGAUUAUGUAGAAGAGACCAGGAUAUGUGGUUGCCCUGUGUCCCAAUACUCAAUGUUGUAGUCAUGGUCCUGAGAAUGAAACAUGUUUUAAACAAUCAACAGAGAUUCACGUGUCUUACAGUGCUACACAUCUGUUAUAAUAAGUGGUGUUUCCUGCUUAAUUGAAGUAUCAGAUGUAGUUUUUCACCAGUUAUAAAGUGUGUUUGUUGUCUCUCUUUAUGUUUCUACGGCUGCAGGGAGGGAGAUGAACGUUUUCUUGACUUUACUCAACCUGUAUAGAUUGGGUAAAAUCUUAUCCAGGAACUAAUCUUGAAAUAAGAUUAGCCUGGGGCAGCAGGUAGCCAAGUGGAUAGAGCGUUGGGACAGCAACUGAAAGGUUGCUAAAUCGAAUCCCCGAGCUGACAAGGUAAACAUCUGUAGUUCUGCCCUCUAACAUGGCAGUUAUCCCACUGUUCCUAGGCCAUCAUUAUAAAUAAAAAUGUGUUCUUAUCUGACUUGCCUGGUUAAAUAAUGAUGUGAGACGUUAUGCUGUCAUAACGUAAUUGAGCUUGGAUAUUUAAAUAGAUGUUUGAUUGCUCUGGUCUAGGGGUGCAUCAGUUGCAGCCUUGAGACAGGAAUUCUCCCCCUGAUCCUUAUCUGAACUCUGUGACAACAAAGUAACUGUAUUGUAGCCUACACAUUUCUUGUCUUAGUAAGAAACACUGAAGAAAACAAUAGCUUCCACGAUGGAUCUGAAAGCCUCCAAAUCUGACACAAGGGGCACAGUAGAGAAUGGACAGGGAGACUGUAGUCCCAUGUAUGACAACAUCUCAGACAUGGCCAUGACCCCUACUGCAGCACAGAGAGCAGACAGAGACUAUACAGUGCCGGAGGAAGGCCCCAUCAUCAUCAAGGACCCCACACACCCCAUCCACGAGCUGUUCACACCCUUACCGUCGGGCUGACGGUAUCGGAGCAUGAGGUCUGAUACCAAUCGCCAUCAGACUGCUGAACACUUGAACUGGACUGACCAGCUGCACUGUUUCUUCGCACAUUAGAACACAUGAACUCACUCAUGCACAUACACACUCACGCACACACUCAUGCACACACACACAUACAUUCAUGCUACACAUCACAACUACUGCUACCAGACUCUUAAUAUGAUUGAUAAAUACUGCACAAUUGAACCACUUGAACCACAAUUGAACCCCCCCUUUCCCAAAACACGUGUAAAUAUUGGACUGUAUUAUACUUAUGCCACAAUGUUUAUUCUAUUCUACUGAGACAUUUUCUUUAUGUUCGUAUUGUUAUUUUUUAUUAUGUCUUAUUGUUGUUGCAUUUUUGAGAAGGAACCUGCCAGUAAGCAUUUAGUUGGACGGUGUAUACAAUGUGUCUUCUGUACAUACGACUAAUAAAACAUGAAACUUGAAACAAUGACUUUAAAUGAGACCCCAGAAGUGAGGAUUGAUGAUGACAUGUUGCAUCUCCUUUCUCAUCAGACCUCUCUCACAGGUAGCUGAGGAGGUCUCCUCUGUGUUCUACAGAACAAGAAGACCUGAACACAAGAUCUUUGUUGCGUCCCAAAUGGUACCUUGUUCCCUCUAGUUCACUAUGUAGUCGUGGGCUCAUGGCUUGAGACUGAGCUUUGCUUUGUAUAUCUGAAAGGGAACAAGACAAUACCAAACUUGUCAUUAAGCAGUAUUUCUUUAGCUCUUAGCGUGUGUUUUAGCGAGAGGAAAAUGUUGCCCAUAAUGUUUUAGGUCGUCAUGGGUGAUGGCACAACAAAUAGGGGAGUCAUUACUAUAGCUUCAGUACUGUUAACGAUUAAUGUACAAGACUAUAC